UGCAGUCGAGCGGACAGAAGGGAGCUUGCUCCCGGAUGUUAGCGGCGGACGGGUGAGUAACACGUGGGUAACCUGCCUGUAAGACUGGGAUAACUCCGGGAAACCGGAGCUAAUACCGGAUAGUUCCUUGAACCGCAUGGUUCAAGGAUGAAAGACGGUUUCGGCUGUCACUUACAGAUGGACCCGCGGCGCAUUAGCUAGUUGGUGAGGUAACGGCUCACCAAGGCGACGAUGCGUAGCCGACCUGAGAGGGUGAUCGGCCACACUGGGACUGAGACACGGCCCAGACUCCUACGGGAGGCAGCAGUAGGGAAUCUUCCGCAAUGGACGAAAGUCUGACGGAGCAACGCCGCGUGAGUGAUGAAGGUUUUCGGAUCGUAAAGCUCUGUUGUUAGGGAAGAACAAGUGCAAGAGUAACUGCUUGCACCUUGACGGUACCUAACCAGAAAGCCACGGCUAACUACGUGCCAGCAGCCGCGGUAAUACGUAGGUGGCAAGCGUUGUCCGGAAUUAUUGGGCGUAAAGGGCUCGCAGGCGGUUUCUUAAGUCUGAUGUGAAAGCCCCCGGCUCAACCGGGGAGGGUCAUUGGAAACUGGGAAACUUGAGUGCAGAAGAGGAGAGUGGAAUUCCACGUGUAGCGGUGAAAUGCGUAGAGAUGUGGAGGAACACCAGUGGCGAAGGCGACUCUCUGGUCUGUAACUGACGCUGAGGAGCGA
rnacentral:rRNA from 1 species